rnacentral:tRNA from 1 species
AGGAUUUUAUCUUAAUUUAAAGAGCAUGAGUUGCAUUCAUGAGAUGUGGGGUAAUAUCCCACAAGUCCUA